rnacentral:rRNA from 1 species
GAUGAACGCUGGCGGCGUGCUUAACACAUGCAAGUCGAACGGUAAGGCACCUUCGGGUGUACACGAGUGGCGAACGGGUGAGUAACACGUGGGCAAUCUGCCCUUCUCUCUGGGACAACUCGGGGAAACCCGAGCUAAUACCGGAUACUCCGGCCGGGUCGCAUGGCCUGGCCGGGAAAGCUCCGGCGGAGCAGGAUGAGCCCGCGGCUGAUUAGCUAGUUGGUGAGGUAACGGCUCACCGAGGCGACGAUCAGUAGCCGAGCUGAGAGGCUGACCGGCCACACUGGGACUGAGACACGGCCCAGACUCCUACGGGAGGCAGCAGGGGGGAAUCUUGCGCAAUGGGCGAAAGCCUGACGCAGCAACGCCGCGUGCGGGAUGAAGGCUCUCGGGUCGUAAACCGCUUUCAGCAGGGACGAAAUCGGACGGUACCCGCAGAAGAAGCCCCGGCUAAAUACGUGCCAGCCGCCGCAGUAACAC